GUAAUCACUUUGACAGGACAUAUGUUAAAGUUGGAAUAAUAUGGAGAGGAUUAGCAUGACCCUGGGCAAAGAUAAUAUGCAGAUUCAUAAAGUAUGUGAUAUUUGA